rnacentral:lncRNA from 1 species
CCGUUGUUUAUUUUCAUUGUUUUAUGUUAACUGUAUAUUAUGUAUAAUGUUAUAAGCCAUUGGUCCAUAUGGGCGUAAAGUGCUUUUCAAUAAAGAAAAUUAUAAUAUAAAAAAAGAAAAAAAAGAAAAUUCAUUAUAGAAUGCACCACCAAACUGUUGACAGUCAGAAAUGCUCAUUUAUUGUCCCCUCUAAAAAAAAACAAUAGACCACUUUCGAGUUCAUCCAACACCGGAAAAAACUCGUCAAUUAUACGCGCCUUUAUCACCGUCAAUUGUGCGUUUAGGGGCGUCGUCACUUCCUUCCAAUGUUGAGCGAGUGGUUGGAAAACUAUAAUUCUAUAUUGUACGAAUUAUUCGGCAAAUUGAAUUCUCAAAAUUGACAAUCAACACUGCUGUCAUUAGGGAAUUGUCAGUAAGUACCUACAGAGCAACCAUUAUUUCUAGUUUAUCCUGCACAAAGACGAUCACCAAGACGCGUGAUGAACGUAAAUAGUGCAGGGAUACAGGCGAGCCCCUCUAUCUGGUAAAUGACGUCAUAAAGGCGUGCAUAAUUGACGAGUUUUUGCCGGUGACGGAUGAACUCGAAAGUGGUCUAUCCUGGAAUUCAGUGGAUAUGAUUAGUGACUUAUUACAUUUAUAUAUAGAUGCAGUAUAAUUUAUC